rnacentral:lncRNA from 1 species
AAACCACUCAACACGACAGGGAAUCGAGUCUUAUUCUGUGUUAAGUUAUUCACUAAGAACUACACAAGAUGAAAACGUUAACUGUGUUCACCAUUGUAUUAAUAAUAACUCUGAUGUUUGUUGAAGACUCUCAAAGCUGGAGACGACGACGACGAUCACCUCCCCCACCCCCACAACCAUCAUGUGGCAAGUGUCUGGGAUUCGCCAGAAAGAUAGUAGCCCCUGGUCGUAUUCAUACAUAUGGCACUGAUUGUGCCGCAUGUGGCCACGACUGUCGAUCUUGCCUAUCACACACGUAUGAAAGAACCAUGACUGGUGUUCAAGUAUAUACCUGUCAACUUAGCUGCGACUAAAAAGCGCAUUGAUCGUUUGUCUUUGUGAUGCCUAUUUGUUCAAUCGCUCUACUUAGUUUGUUUUUACAUUGUAAUAUUCAAAUUUGUGCAUUAUUUUACUACUGCUUAGCAACUAAAAACAUUGUAAUAUUCAUAAAUGUACAUUCUACCAUUGAUUAGUAAAUGAAAGUAAACACAUUGUAAUAUUCAAAUGUGUGCAUUAUUUUACUACUGCUUAGUAAAUAAAAGAAAACACAUUGUAAUAUUCAAAAAUGUGCAUUAUUUUACUACUGCUUAGUAAAUAAAAACAUUGUAAUAUUCAAAAA